rnacentral:rRNA from 1 species
GACGAACGCUGGCGGCGUGCUUAACACAUGCAAGUCGAACGGAAAGGCCCUGCUUGCAGGGUACUCGAGUGGCGAACGGGUGAGUAACACGUGGGUGAUCUGCCCUGCACUUCGGGAUAAGCCUGGGAAACUGGGUCUAAUACCGGAUAGGAGCCAUCUUUAGUGUGAUGGUUGGAAAGUUUUUUCGGUGUGGGAUGAGCUCGCGGCCUAUCUGCUUGUUGGUGGGGUAAUGGCUUACCAAGGCGGCGCGGGGUAGCCGGCCUGAGUGGGUGGACGGCCACAUGGGGACUGAGUGACGCCCCAGCCUCCAACGGGAGGCAGAGGGGGGAAAUAUGACAAAAUGGCGGAAAGCUGGAGCCGGAGCGCCGCGGUGGGGAAUACCGGCUUUCGGGUGUAAAACCCCUUUGGCAGGGGCCGAGCUUUUUGUGACGGUAACUAGAUAAGAAGCACCGGCUAACUACGUG